rnacentral:rRNA from 1 species
UGAGGAAUUUUGCGCAAUGGCCGCAAGGCUGACGCAGCAACGCCGCGUGGGAGAUGAAGGCCUUCGGGUCGUAAAGCCCUGUCAGGUGGGAAGAAAGGCCUUAAGGAGAAACACUUGAGGUUUGACGGUACCACCAGAGGAAGCACCGGCUAACUCCGUGCCAGCAGCCGCGGUAAUACGGAGGGUGCGAGCGUUAUUCGGAAUUACUGGGCGUAAAGCGCGUGUAGGCGGGGGGACAAGUCUGAUGUGAAAGCCCUGGGCUUAACCUGGGAAGCGCAUUGGAAACUGUUUUUCUUGAGUACUGGAGAGGAAGGGGGAAUUCCCGGUGUAGAGGUGAAAUUCGUAGAGAUCGGGAGGAAUACCAGUGGCGUAGGCGCCCUUCUGGACGGUAACUGACGCUGAGAUGCGAAAGCGUGGGGAGCAAACAG